GACAGAGGGUGCAAACGUUGUUCGGAAUUACUGGGCGUAAAGCGAGUGUAGGCGGUUCGCUAAGUCGGGUGUGAAAGCCCUGGGCUCAACCCAGGAAGUGCACUCGAAACUGGCAGGCUAGAGUACUGGAGAGGUUGGUGGAAUUCUCGGUGUAGAGGUGAAAUCCGUAGAUAUCGAGAGGAACACCGGUGGCGAAGGCGGCCAACUGGACAGAUACUGACGCUGAGACUCGAAAGCGUGGGGAGCAAACAGG
rnacentral:rRNA from 1 species